CAAAAACAAGUAUUCAUUGUUCCUUUAAAGAUAUCGUAACCCCAGCAACGGCAUUUUCAUUGGUUUCUGUGUUUUUGAUAUACUCCAGCAAAUGAUGUUUUGAUUCGCUGUUCUAUUUGUGAUGCAAUAUUUACGUAUUCUAAUAAAACGACUGUUCACGCCCACAAAGGUCAGAACUUCUCUGGACUUGCUGAGCCUUGAGCAAAGUUAAGUAACGAGAACUUCUCCUCUUUGCAAAGUGAAUCUUCUAAAAUCUCACUUUCCUCUGUUGUCAUUGAAUUAAUGUUCGGCCGGGUUUGUUGUGUCUCUCUGAGUUCCUAGGUUAAAAAAAACCCGAACAUUAUUGGUGCCGUGACGUCCGGAGUUCGACGAUCCCUACUGACUGGGAGAGGAGGAACGCGCUGAGACUGAUGCGCAUUCUGUCUGAACGACCCGGGGGUCGACGRUACUCAUCCAGGGCCAGCGUUUCUUUAGGUUUCUUCUCGCCCUGUCAGUGGUGAUUCGGCCGAAUCUCACUAGACAGACAGCAGACACAAGUGAGUACUCGUUUUCUCGGCUUGUGUGCGAGAGAGAGUUGGAACAGAAACAGCGCUAGAGUGUUAUUGUACUGAUCGAUCUGAAGAUAAGAAGUGAAAUACGUAUUUUUGUGUUAUUGUUGUGAGCGCUGUCAGGCCGAACUGGACAGAUGUAUUUAACUGUAAAAGCUGUCACGCUGGGUUAAAUCCUUUGAUUUGUUGUGAGGGGCAAUCAACGCUGUAAGCUGGAGACGGGACGCUGACCCGGCUGCAAGCGGUGUGUGUGUGUGUGUGUGUGUGUGUGUGUGUGUGUGUGUGUGUGUGUGUGUGUGUGUGUGUGCGUUCUUGCUUUCCUUCUGUUCGGUGGUGCAACACGGAGCAGUGAGCUGUGUGUGUGUGUGUGUGUGUGAAUGCUUAUCCCUGUUGGAGGGGACGAGCAGGCUGCAGCAGAAAGCGUGAAAGUGUGUGUGUUCUUUCCUGCUGAACGAGACGGCAGCAAAAUACAAUUGAAUCCACUCUGAAACUUUGGAUUCGGGAUUAUUUUCGCUCAACCGCCUAUUAAGGAGUGUAAAAACGUUAAUAAAUCUACAUUUGGUUAUAAGGAUAACGUCCUUUUUUUGUUUUUUUUCCUCCUUCUUCUCUCUGUCUGGAACAGCCGGCCUGCAUUCCAUUCAGAGAUAAA